GGGUUCAAUAAAAUUGCAUAUAAAUCUUACCAUGUCCUUGUGUGAUGACAUGCAACUCUCAAGUAGCUAACUUAAACUCAUUACUUCGAGGUCAAGACACGCGAAUAGGGUAACCAACCCGUACAUGCCAGAAAGGACUUUUUUUCUAUGGCAGUUUCAACGCGUCCCCACGAAAUAGCUCAAGUUCACAACCCGACACCGUCCGCGGCCACAGGUAUAAAGGAGCGGUCUGACAGGACACCAGCACAGACCAGCUGAGUUUGCCUGAGACACCACUUCUCCCAACUCUCCAAAAUGAAGUUUAUGUAUCUAGCUUUCGUCACCAUGGUGGCACUGUCUGUAGUGUUCGCUGCCCCAGAGCCACACAAAAGAAAGGAGGUGGCUUCCUGUCGCGACCAGUGCACCGUGUGGUGCAUCCUGUGGUGCACCACCGCCCUGUAGUACAUCACCGCCCUGUCGUGCACCACCGUCCUGUCGUGCAACACGUGCCCGUGGUGAAGCAUGUUCCCGUGGUACAGCACGUCCCUGUAGUGAGGCACCCUGUCGUGCACCACGGUCCCGUGCUGAAGGGCGGCCACAAGCUGAAGCACGGCUAGAUGACAACAAUUGUAUUGGGAAGGAAGAUUGCCACUACCUUCGGAUAUUCUUCAUCUUCACCGCCAUCUUCUGACGCACUGGCAGGCUCAUGCCAUUCAUCUCUCA